UGGGGAAUAUUGCACAAUGGGCGCAAGCCUGAUGCAGCAACGCCGCGUGAGGGACGACGGCCUUCGGGUUGUAAACCUCUUUUAGUAGGGAAGAAGCGAAAGUGACGGUACCUGCAGAAAAAGCACCGGCUAACUACGUGCCAGCAGCCGCGGUAAUACGUAGGGUGCGAGCGUUGUCCGGAAUUAUUGGGCGUAAAGAGCUCGUAGGCGGUCUGUCGCGUCUGCUGUGAAAACCCGAGGCUCAACCUCGGGCCUGCAGUGGGUACGGGCAGACUAGAGUGCGGUAGGGGAGAAUGGAAUUCCUGGUGUAGCGGUGGAAUGCGCAGAUAUCAGGAGGAACACCGAUGGCGAAGGCAGUUCUCUGGGCCGUAACUGACGCUGAGGGCGAAGCGAUGGGGAGCGAACAGGAUUAGAUACCCUGGUAGUCCACGCCGUAAACGUUGGGCGCUAGAUGUGGGGACCAUUCCACGGUUUCCGUGUCGCAGCUAACGCAUUAAGCGCCCCGCCUGGGGAGUACGGCCGCAAGGCUAAAACUCAAAUGAAUUGACGGGGUCAUAGCUG
rnacentral:rRNA from 1 species